CACGCUGCCCUUGGAGAACAAAUCUCAUGUCCUCAGAGAGGAGGUUGUGAGCAUCCAUGAGUGGAUAUCAGAUGGGCAUCUGUGUGAUGAUGCCACAGAGAAAGGCAUUAACAAACUGCAAAGUGCAGGAUUCGUGCAUUCAUGUCCUUCUAGCUGACCAUUAAGAGCACUUCUCAGAUUAUAUUUUUUUUUUUGAGAGGCAACUAAGUAAUCCUGUCUUUUACAAGAGGAAGGUUUGGGAACAAUUAGUUUUUCUGGGUCUCAAGGACUCUGGUACAAACCCUGCAAUCCGCACACCAGCAGCACUUCCACUUCUCCCAGCAGGCACUCAUUUGAAGGGAUGACCUGAAGCUCACAGAGCUCCACUGGGAGAUGCCUUCUGGAGCCUUUAUCAGCUCAGGGUUGGAACACCCACCACCACCUUUUAUACUGACACCUCCAAGCAGCACUUGGGACUCCUCUUAUGAACACUUUAUAACAUGCAGCUGAAACAGCAGAACUCUUGGCUGACACUGGAGGACUGUACCAAUGGCUGACAAGCAGGGCUUGCUGCAGAACUCCCACAGCAGCCAUUGCUCCACAGAGACAUUGCAACAGCUCCACCUCACAUCACCUUUGGGACAUUCUGAGGCCACAGUUAGCUGGCCUUGUCACCGUCACCUGCCCUUUACUCAGCGCCCGAGUCAGAAACUCAUCCUCUGUGAGCAGCCUUUAUGUUAACGUUUACUGAGCGCACCUUAACAUAUUAAAAUGCAAUCACAAGUUUCCAGCCCAGAACGGGGGUUUGGGGUUUUUUGCCUGCUCACUUAAAAAGCCCUGAAAUCCCAGAAGACACUGUAAAAAUAUGUGGAACUCCACACCUCCGAUGGCCAACACAAGCGUUUUCUAAAUUGCUUGCCUAUCAAAAUCAUAUUUGGAAUUGUGCUCUGUAAGUAUGUGCAAAAUUUACAUUACAAAAGAUGCAGUGUGACAUAAAAAAAAAAAAAGAGUUGCUACAACAGUUCUGAAACACUGCAAUGUGGAAAAGGGGCCUCCGAGGAUUAUUUUUAUUGCCCCUGGGACUCCUGUUGUGAAGUGCCUCAGCACGACAGUGGAAAGCCUACAAUUAAAUAUUUAAAU
rnacentral:lncRNA from 1 species